CGGGAAGAAGCCACAUGUGGGCAAAGACCUGAGUAGUUAAUUUGGGAAGGCUUCCUGGAAGAGGGGGUCACAAGCUGGAAAGGGGAAGAAAGGAACAGGGCUUAGAGAGGGCAUCUCAAGGCAGCAGGGAAGAAGAGCUUCAGGGGUGUAGUGGGAGCUCUGGAUCAGGGCUGCAGCCUGGCUUUCUUGACAGAGAGGAAGGCUGGAAGUGAGGAGGUUAAUGGGUGGAUGCAAGAUCACUGUGGGGUCCUGGAGUCCCUGGGGGUGCAGCCCAGGGAAGACCCAGGGUUGGGCCAACCAUCCUAGGUCCUGGGUUGCAACUGGAGGCAAAAUCUAAAAGCUUGGAGUGGGAAUUGAGCUCAUUUGAGGACCACCUCCAGGGAUGCUGGUCUUCAUCUCUGUUCAUCCCCUCGGGGUGCCUUGCUUUAUGCCCCCUGGCAAUCUCUUCUUGCCUCCUCUUCAUUAAACACCCACUGGGCAGGGCCCAGGUCUGAAGCUGGUGCUGACUCCGUUCUCUCUCCCCAACCUGCCGCUUCUCUCCCAUCUCAGCUUCGUGACCACGGAAACUCACUGGUACAGUGGGGAGGCCUGUAACCAGGGCACCCAGAAGAGUCUGGUGUAUGGCCUCGUGGGGGCAGGGGUCGUGCUGAUGCUGAUCAUCCUGGUAGCUCUCCUGAUGCUCGUUUUCCGCUCCAAGAGAGAGGUGAAACGGCAAAAGUACAGAUUGUCUCAGUUAUACAAGUGGCAAGAAGAGGACGGUGGACCAGCUCCUGGGACCUUCCAAAACAUUGGCUUUGACAUCUGCCGAGAUGAUGAUUCCAUCCACCUGGAGUCCAUCUAUAGUAAUUUCCAGCCCUCCUUGAGACACAUAGACCCUGAAACAAAGGUAAGAAGGGCCUGGAUGGGAUGCUGGCCUCCCCCAACCCUGCGACUUUCUUCUUCUCCUUUCCUACAUGGUAGGACCUUCAGAAAAACAGAACCAUGUUUACUGUUUAUUGGUCCAGGUGAUCCUCCCAGGUCCAUACUGCCAGGAAACAAGCCUAACUCCGGG
ensembl:lincRNA